AAAAGGUGAAUCCAGGGCGAAAUCUAAUUUGGGAUAUUAAGCAAAUCUGCGAAGAUUUUUUAUAAAAUGGGGAUGAAAUUUGCUGAAAAAUGAUUACAAUUGACCAGAUGGAAUGCCAGAUGUGUUGCCAACGAAAUGACUAAAUGAAUAUACACCCCAUGCGAGCAGCAGUUCUUCUAAGAGGCUUAACUGCGACAUUAUCCAUACAAAUCAGUAGCGCCACUAACAAAUCUAAUGGUUCCAACUGAACUAGAAUCCAUAUGUACAUAUAUAAAUAAUAUUUGAGAAAUCUGUUUAAAGUGCACCCAAAUUAAUUUUCUCUCAAAUGAACUAGGAAGUGUGUAUACGAGCUGUGCUAUAUAAAUUUCUGGCCAAACAAUAAAACCAUUUUUAUCAUCAA